AAGUUAAAACUUUCAACAACGGAUCUCUUGGCUCUAGCAUCGAUGAAGAACGCAGCGAAAUGCGAUACGUAAUGUGAAUUGCAGAACUCAGUGAAUCAUCGAAUCUUUGAACGCACAUUGCACCUGGCAGCAUUCUGCCAGGUAUGCCUGUCCGAGCGUCAUUUCACCACUCAAGCUCUGCUUG
rnacentral:rRNA from 1 species